CCCUGCAGGUAGGCAGGAGCCCCCCGUAGCUGAGUGAGGCAGCAUGGCAACGUGCACGGAGGCUGCAUGCAGCGACGUGAUGGGAGCUCAAGGAGGAUGGCAGCUGUGAACGGGGAGAUCUAGAGAUCUGGCUGGGAUCUCGGGAUUUGCUCGGGGUGCCGCCGGAGCUAGCUAUGAAGGUGGAAGCAGUAGCCACGCUGGGCAGGAGGAGGACCACCGGGAUGACAGUGGCCAGUUCAGCACGGCAGAGCAGGGUGACUGGUAUCUGCAGGGAUGGAAAACCCUGACAGUGAGAUCUGCGGCCAAGCUUGUUGUUCCAGGGUGUGCUGAGGAAGUUGGAAAGAGGCUCAGACUCAAGUGCUGAAGAGGGGAGAGUCGAUACUGCAGCCUGAUCAAGGCGGGAGACGAAGGAGGUGAGGCCAGACUCCUCCAACAAAGGAUGGGACGUUUGCAGAAUGGAUGGUGUCUUUGUAAAAUUUCAUCUCAUUCUGGAAAGGCUCAAGAGAAGGUCGGCCUGCCAACCUGCUCCCUCUCCAGCCCGGAUAGCCCUUCUCAACUGUGAAAGCCAAGGCAAGCUCAUCCCUGCCCUCCUGCAAGAUGCCUUCUGUGCCUCUUGAAAAUGCUUUUUCGGUUGUUGUUGUAAAAAAAAAAAAAAAAAUUUUGCAUAAUAAAGUUGAUUCUGAGG